rnacentral:rRNA from 1 species
UGGGGAAUAUUGCGCUAAUGCGCGAAAGCGUGACGCAGCGACGCCGCGUGGGGGAUGAAGGCCCUCGGGUCGUAAACCCCUUUCGCCAGGGACGAAGCUACUCGGGUUAAUAGCCCAGAGGGUGACGGUACCUCCAGAAGAAGCCCCGGCUAACUACGUGCCAGCAGCCGCGGUAAUACGUAGGGGGCAAGCGUUGUCCGGAUUUAUUGGGCGUAAAGAGCGUGUAGGCGGCUUGGUAGGUCCGCUGUGAAAACUCGAGGCUCAACCUCGAGAUGUCGGCGGAAACCCCCUGGCUAGAGUCCGGAAGAGGAGAGUGGAAUUCCCGGUGUAGCGGUGAAAUGCGCAGAUAUCGGGAAGAACACCUAUGGCGAAGGCAGCUCUCUGGGACGGUACUGACGCUGAGACGCGAAAGCGUGGGGAGCGAACAGGAUUAGAUACCCUGGUAGUCCACGCCGUAAACGAUGGGUGCUAGGUGUGGGCGGUGUCGACUCCGUCCGUGCCGAAGCUAACGCAUUAACG